rnacentral:rRNA from 1 species
ACUCCUACGGGAGGCAGCAGUGGGGAAUAUUGCACAAUGGGGGAAACCCUGAUGCAGCCAUGCCGCGUGUGUGAAGAAGGCCUUCGGUUGUAAAGCACUUUCAGUAGGGAGGAAGGUAGUGUAGUUAACACCUGCAUUAUUUGACGUUACCUACAGAAGAAGCACCGGCUAACUCCGUGCCAGCAGCCGCGGUAAUACGGAGGGUGCGAGCGUUAAUCGGAAUUACUGGGCGUAAAGCGCAUGCAGGCGGCCUGUUAAGUCAGAUGUGAAAGCCCGGGGCUUAACCUCGGAAUUGCAUUUGAAACUGGCAGGCUAGAGUCUUGUAGAGGGGGGUAGAAUUUCAGGUGUAGCGGUGAAAUGCGUAGAGAUCUGAAGGAAUACCAGUGGCGAAGGCGGCCCCCUGGACAAAGACUGACGCUCAGAUGCGAAAGCGUGGGGAGCAAACAGGAUUAGAUACCCUGGUAGCGUCGUC